CCAAUAGCGUAUAUUAAAGUUGUUGCAGUUAAAAAGCUCGUAGUUGAAUUUCGGGAUCAGAAGGUCGGUCGUGCCAAUGGUAUGCACUGGCCUUUCUGAUUCCUCCCUCUUGAUGAGCCGUAAUGUCAUUAAUUUGGUGUUGCGGGGAAUCAGGACUGUUACUUUGAAAAAAUUAGAGUGUUUAAAGCAGGCAAGCGCUUGAAUACAUUAGCAUGGAAUAAUGAAAUAGGACGUUCGAUCCUAUUUUGUUGGCUUCUAGGAUUGACGUAAUGAUUAAUAGGGAUAGUUGGGGGCAUUAGUAUUCAAUUGUCAGAGGUGAAAUUCUUGGAUUUAUUGAAGACUAACUACUGCGAAAGCAUUUGCCAAGGAUGUUUUCAUUAAUCAAGAACGAAAGUUAGGGGAUCGAAGACGAUCAGAUACCGUCGUAGUCUUAACCAUAAACUAUGCCGACUAGGGAUCGGAUGAUGUUAAUUUUUUAAUGACUCAUUCGGCGCCUUACG
rnacentral:rRNA from 1 species